rnacentral:lncRNA from 1 species
ACGGGCGCCGAGAGGGCCACGCCGGAGCCCCAGUGUCAGCCCCAGUCCGGCCCCUGCUCCAGGAGUGACCCAGGAAGAGGCCCUCGGCAACAAGGGCACAGAGCAGCUACUGCGGCCCUCCCAAUGGCGCAUGGACUUCCGCGAGAGCCCGCCCGGCACCCGUACUCUGUCCGUCAGGAAAAUAAGCACCACCCCCGCCACGCUUCCUAGGAGGGCAGCACAAACGGUCCGUGGAGGAUUAGUGCCUGCGCUCAGAGCCCCCAGAGGAGACAGCCGCAUUACGCCUCCCACCACCCCUUCCCUCCUUCUUUGUUUCCGGGUUGGAGUUACGAAAUUGAGUUUCCCAGGUCAAAGAUUUGGAGAGAGAGAGAAGCUGCUUUUGUCAUGGAAUCAAUUGUUUGCCAAAGCUCUUCGGUGAUGCUUCAGGUGCUCCCAUUUUUAUUGAGCGCACGCACCACUGCGGACCUAGGAUCUCAGACUGCCUUGCCCAGGCUCGUGUGAUCAGAGGAAGGGGAGUCACCAGAGGACCCCAGGGAGGCUAUGAACAGGACCAGGGCCAAUCGGGUUUGGGAGAGGCAGGGACUGGAGGGGAGAAAAGAAACAGAGCACAUUACAGAAAUGAAACAUUCUGGAAGAAGGAAGCAUCCUAGAUCAAAGGAGAAGGGCUACUGCAUGGUAGCAAAAUCUCCAUUUUUUUGGGCAGUUCGGGAAGUUCAGUGCAUCCUUAAUGAGGAUUCAUUUCCUGCCACCAAGUGAACUGCACAGCUUCUUUAUGUCUUUUCUGUGCAAUUGGAAUAAAGUUGUAUUACAUUUCCUUGGGAGUAAUAUU